GACGAACGCUGGCGGCGUGCUUAACACAUGCAAGUCGAACGGAAAGGCCCUGCUUUUGUGGGGUGCUCGAGUGGCGAACGGGUGAGUAACACGUGAGUAACCUGCCCUUGACUUUGGGAUAACUUCAGGAAACUGGGGCUAAUAACGGAUAGGAGCUCCUGCUGCAUGGUGUGGGUUGGAAAGUUUCGGCGGUUGGGGAUGGACUCGCGGCUUAUCAGCUUGUUGGUGGGGUAGUGGCUUACCACGGCUUUGACGGGUAGCCGGCCUGAGAGGGUGACCGGCGACAUUGGGACUGAGAUACGGCCCAGACUCCUACGGGAGGCAGCAGUGGGGAAUAUUGCACAAUGGGCGGAAGCCUGAUGCAGCAACGCCGCGUGCGGGAUGACGGCCUUCGGGUUGUAAACCGCUUUCGCCUGUGACGAAGCGUGAGUGACGGUAAUGGGUAAAGAAGCACCGGCUAACUACGUG
rnacentral:rRNA from 1 species